rnacentral:rRNA from 1 species
UGGGGAAUAUUGCACAAUGGGCGCAAGCCUGAUGCAGCCAUGCCGCGUGUAUGAAGAAGGCCUUCGGGUUGUAAAGUACUUUCAGUCGGGAGGAAGGUGGUAAGGUUAAUAACCUUAUCAAUUGACGUUACCGACAGAAGAAGCACCGGCUAACUCCGUGCCAGCAGCCGCGGUAAUACGGAGGGUGCAAGCGUUAAUCGGAAUUACUGGGCGUAAAGCGCACGCAGGCGGUUGAUUGAGUCAGAUGUGAAAUCCCCGGGCUUAACCCGGGAAUUGCAUCUGAAACUGGUCAGCUAGAGUCUUGUAGAGGGGGGUAGGAUUCCAUGUGUAGCGGUGAAAUGCGUAGAGAUGUGGGGGAAUACCGGUGGCGAAGGCGGCCCCCUGGACAAAGACUGACGCUCAGGUGCGAAAGCGUGGGGAGCAAACAGG